UACGAAGGGGGCUAGCGUUGCUCGGAAUCACUGGGCGUAAAGGGCGCGUAGGCGGAUCUUUAAGUCGGGGGUGAAAGUCUGUGGCUCAACCACAGAAUUGCCUUCGAUACUGGGGAUCUCGAGACCGGAAGAGGUGAGUGGAACUGCGAGUGUAGAGGUGAAAUUCGUAGAUAUUCGCAAGAACACCAGUGGCGAAGGCGGCUCACUGGUCCGGUUCUGACGCUGAGGCGCGAAAGCGUGGGGAGCAAACAGG
rnacentral:rRNA from 1 species